rnacentral:lncRNA from 1 species
UUGGAGGUGCUGGCAGCCAUCGUGCCACCCUGAAGGAAGAGCCUGGGAAUAGAGAACACAAAGGAACGCAGAGCCAAGCAAUGGAGAGAGAAAGAUCAACAUUUUUAUAUUGAGGACUGAUUAUAUUUUGUAUAAAUGAAAUAUUUUUAUCCUGACAAUAUUUUUAGAGUGACCUGGAUCCAACCAGACCUGAAGUAUCACCCAAACUUAUGCAUUCUGGCUCUGACAAAUCACCUGUUGUAGUGGUGAUUUGAGGCAGCUUGAAUUAAUUUUUUUCUGUCACUUGCUCCCAAAAGGGUUCUCUCUGAUGGAGGGGGCUCUGUUAAGUGUAAGAUUGUUCCCUCUCCUGUGAAAUCUCAAAUCUCAGGUGAUCUGGUGGAAGGAAAUCAUUUUAAAAGAAACAAGAGGGGAUCCAUUAACAUCUCAAGGAGUUCCCCAAAAAGGAUUGUGUGGAACUCAUGAAGAUAACUCGUGCUUCUUAAGACAUUUGAAACUGGGCAGGGAAUUCGCCAAUCAUGCUGACGUGAUUCUAGAAGAAGGAGGCAGAUUAGCAUCGGGCAGGUGAGAAAGCGGCUGGUGCCAGGGGGACUCCUGCAGGCUCGAAGGCUGUCACGCUGGUUCCCAGAGCCAAGAGGGUGACCGAGCCCCUGCCCCAGAUGCUGCAGAGAUGAGGCACAGCUCAGGCUCUGACUUGGCUAGAGUCUAAGGAGGUUCUGCUCAUGGCAGAUGACCAGAAUGCAAUAAACCAAGCCAAACCAAGCCCUGCCAAUUUCCUGUCUGACCAAAGCAAGUCAUGUGGCUAAGCCCAACAUCAGUGGGGCAGGGAAGUACACACCACCCACGUGGAACGGAGAGGGAAAUGAACACUGGCUGAACAACAGUCCACACUGUCACAGGGCACAGGAGAAACGACAGAAGGGACAAGGGCACGGGAAAGAACCGAGGAACAGGAAGCAGGCAAGAGCGCCGGGCAGAGUGUCUUUGGCAGCCCAGUUCAACUCCUUUUCCCCAGGACUCCUCACCUGACACCUCUCUGGGAUCUGCAGCUGCCUUCCACUGACCUUCAUUGAUGUCAACCCACUGUCAUGAAAACCAACAAUGGGGAUUGUUGUUGU